UACGGGGGGGGCAAGCGUUGUUCGGAAUUACUGGGCGUAAAGGGCGCGUAGGCGGUGCUCUAAGUCGGAUGUGAAAACUCUGGGCUCAACCCAGAGCCUGCAUCCGAAACUGGAGUGCUAGAGUUCUGGAGGGGGUAGCGGAAUUCCUGGUGUAGCGGUGAAAUGCGUAGAUAUCAGGAGGAACACCGGUGGCGAAGGCGGCUUCCUGGACCGACACUGACGCUGAGGCGCGAAAGCUAGGGGAGCAAACGGG
rnacentral:rRNA from 1 species